CAGUACCGUGAGGGAAAGGUGAAAAGCACCCCGGAAGGGGAGUGAAAGAGAUCCUGAAACCGUGUGCCUACAAAUAGUCAGAGCCCGUUAAUGGGUGAUGGCGUGCCUUUUGUAGAAUGAACCGGCGAGUUACGAUCCCGUGCAAGGUUAAGCUGAAGAGGCGGAGCCGCAGCGAAAGCGAGUCUGAAUAGGGCGUUUAGUACGUGGUCGUAGACCCGAAACCAGGUGAUCUACCCAUGUCCAGGGUGAAGUUCAGGUAACACUGAAUGGAGGCCCGAACCCACGCACGUUGAAAAGU
rnacentral:rRNA from 1 species